CACGUAGGCGGCUCACCAAGCGUCCUGUGAAAUCCCUCGGCUUAACCGAGGAACUGCAGGGCGAACUGGUGGGCUUGAGGCAGGUAGGGGCGCGCGGAACUCUUGGUGGAGCGGUGGAAUGCGUAGAUAUCAAGAGGAACGCCGGUGGCGAAGGCGACGCGCUGGGCCUGUCCUGACGCUGAGGUGCGAAAGCCAGGGGAGCGAACAGGAUUAGAUACCCUGGUAGUCC
rnacentral:rRNA from 1 species